rnacentral:rRNA from 1 species
GAGUUUGAUCAUGGCUCAGAUUGAACGCUGGCGGCAGGCUUAACACAUGCAAGUCGAGCGGGGGAAGGUAGCUUGCUACCGGACCUAGCGGCGGACGGGUGAGUAAUGCUUAGGAAUCUGCCUAUUAGUGGGGGACAACAUCUCGAAAGGGAUGCUAAUACCGCAUACGUCCUACGGGAGAAAGCAGGGGAUCUUCGGACCUUGCGCUAAUAGAUGAGCCUAAGUCGGAUUAGCUAGUUGGUGGGGUAAAGGCCUACCAAGGCGACGAUCUGUAGCGGGUCUGAGAGGAUGAUCCGCCACACUGGGACUGAGACACGGCCCAGACUCCUACGGGAGGCAGCAGUGGGGAAUAUUGGACAAUGGGGGGAACCCUG